GGCCGCUUGGUGCCCAAGAUUUCUCAGACGUCCCAGAGCCCUGACUCUGCUGCCAGCUUGCUUUACAGUGAGGCCAAGGAAGGAGCCACGGAGGGUGUGCUGGCCCUAGGAGCAGGAUUCCUGUGUGUUCACUAAGCUUGCAGCAUCAAGAAGCCACCAGCCAGCAUGGACAUGUGAGCGUCAGAGGGAGGGAAAACAAAACACUCAUGGGAAGAAGCGGGACCAGGCUCCAGCCGCAAAGUCGCCCUUCAUGCUUCACGCAAGAAAAAGGCCUCAGAGGGAGCUGUGAGGACAUGAUCAAAUCACUGUGCCAGCUGGUCACCAGGGGGCCACCACUCCAAGGAACCCUGAAGAUGGUGGACAGGAAUUAGGAAGUGUUGAACCGUCUUAGAUGGAAUGCUGUUCAUAUGAAAGCAAGACGCUCUAUCCUAGAAUUGCUUUUAUCAUUUGGUUCUAUUGCCACUUUUCGAAAAUUGUGUGACGUGAAG
rnacentral:lncRNA from 10 species